UGAGAUCCGGUUUGCACUGCGGC
rnacentral:miRNA from 1 species